rnacentral:tRNA from 1 species
CGGAGAAUUAGCUCAGCUGGGAGAGCAUCUGCCUUACAAGCAGAGGGUCGGCGGUUCGAACCCGUCAUUCUCAACCA